CGCUUACCACUUUGUGGUUCAUGACUGGGGUGAAGUCGUAACAAGGUAGCGCUAGGGGAACCUGGCGCUGGAUCACCUCCUUAAACGAUGAU
rnacentral:rRNA from 1 species